AAGUCGUAACAAGGUUUCCGUAGGUGAACCUGCGGAAGGAUCAUUAAUGAUUUUUAAAGCAAACCAAGCUUUUUUUAAAAGUAAGGUUUUGCGAAUGUAUAUUUAAAACCCCACUCUUUUAAAAAUCAAUUUUUCAUUCAUUAUAUUAUGAAUAAUAAAAAAAAAGAUCACUUUCAACAACGGAUCUCUUGGCUCUC
rnacentral:misc_RNA from 1 species